UCUCCAGUACCAAAAAAAUAAAAUAAAAUUGGAACGAUACAGAGAAGAUUAGCACAGCCCCUGCACAAGGAUGACAUGCAAAUUCGUGAAGUGUUCCAUAUUAAA
ensembl:snRNA U6 U6 spliceosomal RNA